rnacentral:rRNA from 1 species
CUAAACGACUCUCGGCAACGGAUAUCUCGGCUCUUGCAUCGAUGAAGAACGUAGCGAAAUGCGAUACUUGGUGUGAAUUGCAGAAUCCCGUGAACCAUCGAGUCUUUGAACGCAAGUUGCGCCUGAAGCCGUCAGGUUGAAGGCACGUCUGCCUGGGCGUCACGCAU